GAACGAGAAAGUGGAGCAAUCCAUGAGUAAAGUGGCGACCGGGUGAGUAACACGUGACUAACCUGCCCUAGAGUGGGGGAUAACCUCGGGAAACCGGGGCUAAUACCGCAUAACAUCACGAGGGGAAGAUCCUUGUGAUCAAAGGAGCAAUUCGCUCAAGGAGGGGGUCGCGGCUGAUUAGCUAGUUGGUGAGGUAACGGCUCACCAAGGCGAAGAUCAGUAGCCGGCCUGAGAGGGCGCACGGCCACACUGGAACUGAAACACGGUCCAGACUCCUACGGGAGGCAGCAGUGGGGAAUUUUGCGCAAUGGGGGAAACCCUGACGCAGCAACGCCGCGUGGAGGAUGAAGUCCCUUGGGACGUAAACUCCUUUCGACCCGGACGAUAAUGACGGUACUGGUGGAAGAAGCACCGGCUAACUCUGUG
rnacentral:rRNA from 1 species